AUAAAUUCCUCUAAAAAACACGCUCUCUUUUUUCUAAACCCUAGAUCUUAAUCUUCUUCCUUCUGAUGUACUCUUUCUCUUCUCUUCUGAUCCAAUCCAGAUGAUUCAAGCUUCAAUAAUCAUGUCGUCUCCAGAAUUCUAGCCAUCACUCUCAUCGGGAUUUCUCAUCUCUCCGUCGAUUAAACUUUUGAAUCAGUGAGUCACUCAGCCAAUCCUUUCUGUAAUUUCUUGAUUUCUUCUUCAAAUCUUAUAAACUCCAACCGCAUAGAGAUGGAAGAGAUUCAGCAAGAUUUGGGCAAGUUUCGAUUUGAUGGCUAAAUUGGACGUCACGAUGACAGAACUGGUAGACUAUGUGCAGGUGAACCAAGAAAUCAUCUCAUAGG